GCAGCUGUGCGACUCUGACUCCCGUGGGCUGUGACAAAGGAUACUCUCUCCUGAUCCAGACCCCAGGAACCUUUAACCAUUAUCCUAGAGCACAAGGAGAUUUGGGGAGAUUUAAAUGAAAUUUUUCAAAAAAAGAUAGUCAAGUAUUCUCAUUAUCCUGCUGCUCCCAUCCAACUUUCCACCUCUCUGCACAUUUGCUUCCUUUAAGAAAAUCUGCUCAUUUAUUUUGUGAGCCUUAGCAAGAUCCCAGGCCUUGAAGUUCUGGCUCUUCGAGGUUGGAGAUCCUAAAGAAUAUUGAGAAUUGUAUUGAUUGAGGUUUUCUUGGUGUUAUACAGCAAUGCCCAUGUACUCAAGGAGCCUUUUUGAGAACAUGCUAAUUCGACAGAGAAUCAGCAGCCAACACUGUUGUCUUAAGAAGAGGACUGAAGAGGAAAAGACAAUGCUGAGAGCCUUACUGACCUCUUUCAACAGCCUCCCCACAUGCAGCUGCUUUUGGGAAGCAAAUGUGGGGCAGUCAGAGGAUCUAAAAAGUAUGGGGAUUCACUGCUGUAUAUCACAUGUAUAUCAUGUGAAUAACAUCUUUCAAUUAGGAGCAUCCCACAUUCACCCAGCUCCUUGUGGUACAUGGAUCACAUACAUACAUGGUACCAGGAUGUGCAACAGUGACAGACUAGAGGACAAUAGAACAGUUCAAGAGCACCUAUGGCAAAUGCAAUGUCAACCUGCAUCAUCUGUGACGAAUAUACUGUGCAUUACCAUCAUUUUAUGUACUGUAAAUAAGCCCCCAUCCUUUGUUUUGCCUAACUCCUUCCAGAUGCCUCUUGCCUCAAACAAACUACAGUCCUCAGGUUCUCAGAAAUAGGAUCUUGGCCUACAAGAAGGUAAUUUCUCCAGGUUCAACAACCGGAUCAAGGCAUUUUACUCUUGCAGUCUGCAUUAUCCCUUCUUAUUCUUGAGCUGCCAUCUCAUUUAGGCAGGGACUUUUAGGAUACAAAC
rnacentral:lncRNA from 1 species